rnacentral:rRNA from 1 species
AGUGAACGCUGGCGGUAUGCCUAACACAUGCAAGUCGAACGGCAGCACAGUAAGAGCUUGCUCUUACUGGUGGCGAGUGGCGGACGGGUGAGGAAUACAUCGGAAUCUACUUUUUCGUGGGGGAUAACGUAGGGAAACUUACGCUAAUACCGCAUACGACCUACGGGUGAAAGCAGGGGAUCUUCGGACCUUGCGCGAUUGAAUGAGCCGAUGUCGGAUUAGCUAGUUGGCGGGGUAAAGGCCCACCAAGGCGACGAUCCGUAGCUGGUCUGAGAGGAUGAUCAGCCACACUGGAACUGAGACACGGUCCAGACUCCUACGGGAGGCAGCAGUGGGGAAUAUUGGACAAUGGGCGCAAGCCUGAUCCAGCCAUACCGCGUGGGUGAAGAAGGCCUUCGGGUUGUAAAGCCCUUUUGUUGGGAAAGAAAAGCAGCAGGUUAAUACCCCGCUGUUCUGACGGUACCCAAAGAAUAAGCACCGGCUAACUUCGUG